rnacentral:lncRNA from 1 species
UCUUUCACCUUAUGCAUGAAAUGCAUGUGUGAACAGUGCACGAAUUUCUUUUCAAUUCCACUUAAAAUCUGAUUUUGGAGCCAAUGGUGAUGGUCAAAAGUUCAAGCCAUGCACCAAAUUUUAAUUUUAAUUUUUCCCUCCAAAAAGCCAAUGAAUUAUCAAAUGCUCAUAUGAAUAUAAUUGGUGCAAUGCAAUGCAAGAUUUGGAAACUAGAGGUCAAAAGGAGAAAAAU